rnacentral:sRNA from 1 species
GCCGGGAGCAGUGGCGCGCACCUGUCAUCCCAGCGGCUAGGAAGGCUGAGACAGGAGGAUCGAGAGUUCAAAGCCAGCCUCAGCAACAGCGAGGCACUAAGCAACUCAGUGAGACCCUGUCUCUA